rnacentral:rRNA from 1 species
CCUACGGGAGGCAGCAGUGAGGAAUAUUGGUCAAUGGGCGCGAGUCUGAACCAGCCAAGUCGCGUGAGGGAAGACUGCCCUAUGGGUUGUAAACCUCUUUUGUCAGGGAGCAAUUGGCGCUACGUGUAGCGUUAUCGAGAGUACCUGAAGAAAAAGCAUCGGCUAACUCCGUGCCAGCAGCCGCGGUAAUACGGAGGAUGCGAGCUUUAUCCGGAUUUUUGGGGUUUAAAGGGUGCGUAGGCGGAAUGCAAAGUCGUCGGUAAAGUUGCGGGGCUCAACCUCGCUGUGCCGUUGAUACUGGCAUUCUUGAGUGGGCGAGAGGUAUGCGGAAUGCGUGGUGUAGCGGUGAAAUGCAUAGAUAUCACGCAGAACUCCGAUUGCGAAGGCAGCAUACCAGCGCCCAACUGACGCUGAAGCACGAAAGCGUGGGUAUCGAACAGGAUUAGAUACCCCUGUAGUC